GCGCCCGUAGCUCAGUCGGACAGAGCACCGGUUUCCUAAACCGGCGGUCGCAGGUUCGAAUCCUGCCGGGCGCA
rnacentral:tRNA from 1 species